UCAAAGUCUUGAUUGGCUCAGCUUACACAUCAGUGGUACCAUUUUUAUUCCAUGUUUUAUGUGUUGUUUGCUAACCCUACUCUAAUCACAGUAACAGGGUUGCUAAUCCAUGCUAAUGUGAUCUUUUUCUCAGCAUUAGAAGCUAGAUAUUUAGCUAGCUGUUACUGCUGACCAAGAGGACAAACUGACUGAUGGAAAACAGUCCAAAGAAUUAGUCUGAUCCUGAUAAUAUGAGGUAGAGUGAGACAUUCAAUCAAGGCUGACAAUGUUAUGAAAAGAUGAAAAAUAGAAGAGAGGACAUAGCUUUGCUCUACUCAUUCUUUAGGAAAACUGAUGAUGUGAAUUCCAGCGUUUCAUGUGAUUCACUGUUUUCCAUAAAAAGGUUAUGCUGACAGGGUUGUUGUGGGACAUAUGUUCCAUGCAUAAUAAUUAUUUAAAAUAUUAUGUUGAUUAAAAAAAUCUUCCCACAAUUACAAGAGACAUCAAUGAGAAAAAUAAUACCAAAAAAAAAAGAUUUAAAUUUAAUUGUAACUGUUUUAUUUGAGAUUCAGUUUGGCCAUCAGAGGGGUGGGAGAAGAGAAAAAUGACAAUUUAGGAGGAAGUCCAGACUUAUUUGACAUUUUAAAAAAUAUUUUCAAACCUACUUUUAACUUUUUUUUAGAUUUGGCCUCAAGGCAAGUACAUUCACACAACAACUGCAUGUUUUAGUAUUUCCUACAUGGAUUAUUUGAAAUUUGAUGGGUGAGAUGUAAAAUGUCCUCCAGUUCUGAAAUGACCCUUAUAACUACUUCUGAAACAAAUUUUUCAUAUAAAUUUUAAACAUAACUAAUAAAGCCUACUGCUAACUAACCUUACCAAUCAGUUCUCAUAUUACUGAAGUCUUUACGGUUAAUCUCAGGCUUAAAACUAGCAGGACUUCCCCAUCAAACUUUGUAAAUGAUUCAGAAUCACUCAGUGCAACACAAUCCAUGCCAUUAUUAGCAGCUUCGAGCUCUUUCUCAGCUCUGAAUCUGGUGGUUUUCUUGAAAGGUUGUCCUCACCGGGAGCAGUGGUUCGUGCACAGCCUGACUGUAAGGUCAACAGCUGUCACGUGAAAUCAAGUCAAAGAGGAGUCACCGAGACUUCGUACGAUAAAAGCAAGCAGGAGGUUUCUGAAAGCAGCAGAGCGUUUGUCUGUCUCUGUAGCGUUUCUGUAAAGCAAUCAAUAGAAGCUGCACAUUUUCUGUAUGUUGUAUUGACCUGCAAAGAUGAGUACAUUAAAGCUGAGGCGCCUGAGGAAAUCCCACCCAGCCUCAGUGCAGCUGCUCAAAGCGAAGCCCCUAAAGGUCGUCAUGCUGCUUAUUCCCAGUCAGCCGUGUGAUUGACAGCCUGUCAGCGCCACAGUCAGUCAAAGAGGGUUGUCGAUGAAGUGUUGCGUAAUAUGUCAGGCCGCGGAAGCCCACCCGCAUGGACAAGCGUGCAUGACCGUGACGGUGGGCGUACACGUGCAAUAAGGAAUGUGUGUCAUGUCCGCCCACACAAGCAUUUUUCACAUGGCAUCCUCUUUAUUCUCCCAAAGUGACAGAUUUUAAUUAAGUCUGUGGCUCAAAUCAGAGCUCCCAGCUGAAGCGUGUUGAAUGUAUUUACCCAUUCAUGACGGAAUGUAAGCGCAUUCAUCGUUUAAUGUUGUGAUUAAUGUUUGCAAAGGAGCUCGAAUAGCUCAGAGGAGAUGCUGUGAAAACAAGCUCUGGCCCUCAUUGAUUCAAACAUCAUGAGAUGCAGAAAUUAGAGUAGAUUAAAGGGUUUCAGGAAGUUAUACCAAGUAUAUCAAUGGUAUCAAAAUACGUUUUUGAUGAACCACAGCUUUGGUGUGGAUUUAAAAAUUUGCCUAAACUGUAUGCAUGAGAAGAGAAGAAAGGACAAAUUCACUGUUUGGUCUGUCGUCUUCUAAUUUCCAAUAAACAUACCGUAUCAUUCAAAUGUUUGGGGUCACUAAGAAAUGUCCAUAUUUUUGAAAGAAAAGCAGAAGAUAACAUUAAAUGAAUCAGAAAUCCAGUCUAGACAUUGUUAAUGUGGUAAAUGACUAUUCUAGCUGGAAACGGCUGAUUUUUACUGGACUAUCUCCAUAGGGGUACAGAGGAACAUUUCCAGCAACCAUCACUCUUGUGUUCUAAUGCUACAUUGUGUUAGCUAACGGUGAUGAAAGGCUGAUUAUGAAAUGCAAUUAUGUUAGCACAUGAAUAAAAGUGUGAGUUUUCAUUUUCUGGGUGACGCCAAACUUUUGAAUGAUUGUGCAACUGUAAAAAUAAAAAUUCAUGUAACGGGGUCGUGUGCACAGAUGCACAUUUUUUGACAUCAUUUCAGCAAGUGUUGCAUGCUACUUUAAGCGUUACUUCCAGUGUUUAUAGGUCAGAUGUGUCUGUUAUUCCAGGCUUGGCUUUGGGUUAAAUAACAGCAGAGCAUCAUAUGUUUCCAGUAUGUUAAUAUGUUCAUGUUGGUAUGUCACUUCUGAUCAUGACUCACUUUUCUGAAAGUUUAGAAUAAAACAUUUUCUAUGAAAUAAA